AUUGAACGCUGGCGGCAGGCCUAACACAUGCAAGUCGAACGAGUGGCGGACGGGUGAGUAAUGUCUGGGAAACUGCCUGAUGGAGGGGGAUAACUACUGGAAACGGUAGCUAAUACCGCAUACCAUCAGAUGUGCCCAUAUGGGAUUAGCUUGUUGGUGGGGUAACGGCUCACCAAGGCGACGAUCCCUAGCUGGUCUGAGAGGAUGAUCAGCCACACUGGGACUGAGACACGGUCCAGACUCCUACGGGAGGCAGCAGUGGGGAAUAUUGCACAAUGGGCGCAAGCCUGAUGCAGCCAUGCCGCGUGUAUGAAGAAGGCCUUCGGGUUGUAAAGUACUUUCAGCGGGGAGGCGUUACCCUCAGAAGAAGCACCGGCUAACUCCGUGCCAGCAGCCGCGGUAAUAC
rnacentral:rRNA from 1 species